UGCCCCCUGGCCCAGCUGGUUAAGGCGCACGACUGUUAGGUUGUUCAAUCGUGAGAUCGUGAGUUCGAGCCUCACGGGGGCAG